rnacentral:rRNA from 1 species
CCUACGGGAGGCAGCAGUGAGGAAUAUUGGUCAAUGGGCGCGAGCCUGAACCAGCCAAGCCGCGUGAAGGAUGACUGCCCUACGGGUUGUAAACUUCUUUUAUAAAGGAAUAAAGUGAGGCACGUGUGCCUUUUUGUAUGUACUUUAUGAAUAAGGAUCGGCUAACUCCGUGCCAGCAGCCGCGGUAAUACGGAGGAUCCGAGCGUUAUCCGGAUUUAUUGGGUUUAAAGGGAGCGUAGAUGGGUUGUUAAGUUAGUUGUGAAAGUUUGGGGCUCAACCCCGAAAUUGCAUGUGAUACUGGCAGUCUUGAGUACAGUUGAGGUAGGCGGAAUGCGUGGUGUAGCGGUGAAAUGCUUAGAUAUCACGAAGAACACCGAUUGCGAAGGCAGCUUACUAAACUGCAACUGACGUUGAGGCUCGAAAGCGUGGGUAGCAAACAGGAUUAGAUACCCUGGUAGUC